GACAUGUCCGGAAUCCUGCAGAGAUGCGGGAGUGCCGAAGGGAAUCGGAACACAGGUGCUGCAUGGCUGUCGUCAGCUCGUGUCGUGAGGAUGUUGGGUUAAGUCCCGCAACGAGCGCAACCCUUAUCAUUAGUUGCUACGCAAGGGCACUCUAAUGAGACUGCCGGUGACAAACCGGAGGAAGGUGGGGAUGACGUCAAGUCCUCAUGGCCCUUAUGGGUAGGGCUUCACGCGUCAUACAAUGGUCGGUACAGAGGGUUGCCAAGCCGCGAGGUGGAGCCAAUCCCAGAAAGCCGAUCGUAGUCCGGAUUGUUCUCUGCAACUCGAGAGCAUGAAGUCGGAAUCGCUAGUAAUCGCGGAUCAGCAUGUCGCGGUGAAUACGUUCCCGGGUCUU
rnacentral:rRNA from 1 species